UUCGUAACCAGUGUUGUGUUCCCAUAUGCUAAGAACUCCAAAUCACGUAAAACACUACAUCACAACACUUUAUGCUUACUUACUUUACCUUAUGGUGCUCCUUUCUUAAUAUACGUUUCUGAUUACUGAGCGAUGGAUUAUUGAUCUGGGUGUGUUUGGGUUUGUGUGUCGUCGACACAGAGCCAUAUUUGCCAGUUUCUUCCAUAUUUACCUCUCUCUCUCUCUUCAUGAGACCUAUGUAGUUAAGCCCUCUCCAGAGGAAAAAAUAAUUUGCAGUCAGUAAGUGCCAUGAUUUCAUCUGGUUGAAAGGAUUUGAAUAUGUCUCUACUAAGUCUGCCUCUGCUAGAUCCUUUAUGUAUAUUCCCAGUUUCUCUCUGCCUUGCUUGCAUCUUACACACACACACACUGUGUGUGUGUGUGUGCGUGUGUCAGCAUCUGUUUCCGUCUGAUGUUCAUUCUCUGCUUUUAGUCUGGUUCUCUGUCUCGGUUUCUGCCACGGCUCGUCUUUCUCUGUCUCCAUCUUUGGAUCUCUGUCUCUGUGUGUCCCAGUUUGUGUCCUAAGUAAAUCUGUAUGUCAACCUUUCCUCUUUUUUCUCACUGCACAGAUGAGAGGUGGCAUACCAUAGUCUAUAGACCGGAUUCAUUCCCCUCUUUGGUGGUGGCUGUCCCUGUGUAGAGCCCAGUGUGAGUGUGAGUGUGUGUGUCUGCAUAGAGCCCAGUGUGUGUGUGUGUGUGUGUCUGUGUGUGUGUGUUUGUGUAGAGCCCAGUGUGUGUGUGUGUGUGUGUGUGUAGCCCAGUGUGUGUGUGUGUGUGUAGAGCCCAGUGUGUGUGUGUGUGUGUGUCUGUGUGUGUGUGUGUGUGUGUAGAGCCCAGUGUGUGUGUGUGUGUUUGUGUAGAGCCCAGUGUGUGUGUGUGUGUUCCAGUGUGUGUGUGUGUGUGUAGAGCCCAGUGUGUGUGUGUGUGUAGAGCCCAGUGUGUGUCUGUCUGCGUU
ensembl:lncRNA